CGGCCCAGUGACGAUGACUGAUGGUAUAUGAGGCAUGGACGAUGAAUACUGUGUGUCUGAAACUCUGAGGUCCAA
ensembl:snoRNA